rnacentral:tRNA from 1 species
GGAGGGCUAUCGAAGAGGUCAUAACGAGCUCGACUCGAAAUCGAGUUGACGGUUACACGUCACGUGGGUUCGAAUCCCACGCCCUCCGCCA